CCGCGCGUCUUGAGGGGAGUAGUCGCCCUUCCGCGAUGGAAGGGGCGCACGUCAACAUCCUUGACCGAUCGGUCAUGGCGUGCGCGGCUUGUGGCUUGACGAGACUUUGGACUCGAUGGAGUGUCCGGCUGGGGCUGGGCGCGCU
rnacentral:sRNA from 2 species